UUCGCGGUCGUUUUAGGCCGAUGAUAUUAUUUCUUUUUUUUUUAUCAACCACUGCGGCCGUCGUCACUACAAUUGCUCUCACAAUAAUCGUUUUUGUUUGGUUAUUAUUAUUUUACUUAUUUUAUUUUGCGUUAUUUAUUUUAUUGUCGGUGUUAUAGCAAAUAAAUUAUAUUUAAGAACCUUGGACUAAAUACUUAGUCAGUGUCAGACGAGUAACUUGUAGUCUGUAGUAUACAAGUAUCAUACCUACUAUAUGCGCGUAUGCGGCAUAAGUAUCAUCAUGAUAUUAUUGAGUGUUCCUAUUCUGCGGAUAAGCUUAAUACUUUACUUCAUCUCUGUAGUAGAAUUUUUACUGUAGAAAUUUACAUUUUCAAAAUUUUAAUGGAGUGAAAAAGUUGUAAGACAUGCUAUCCACUGUCUACUGCAAGUUAAACUAUUCACGUAUGAGAUCCCGAAAAUUCGAAUCCAAAUUCACACACAUCAAAUAAAAAUAAACAGACCUAAUGUAUUUUUUAAUAAGAACAAACCAAGUUUCAGAUUUGGUAUGCAGACAAUUUAUCUACUCGUGAAGACUUAUGCGUGAGCCAUCGUAUAAAUAAAGUGGUGUAUCCAGCAUUAUCUGCGGUCAUAACACCUAUCGCAAUGUACCUACUGCGUAUAAUAUAAUAUAUAUUCCAUCUUUGUACAGUACAUUUAAUAUAUUACAUAAAUAUGUAAUACGAUAAUACAUAGAUAUAAUAUAUAUAGUUAUGAUUUGCGAGUAUUUGAAA